rnacentral:rRNA from 1 species
UACGAGGGGUGCAAGCGUUAUUCGGAAUUAUUGGGCGUAAAGGGUGCGUAGGUGGCAUGUUAAGUCUGUUGUUCAAUCUCUCGGCCUAACCGAGAGUUCGCGGCAGAAACUAACAAGCUAGAGUGUGAGAGAGAGAAGUGGAAUUCUUGGAGUAGCGGUUAAAUGCGUAGAUAUCAAGAGGAACACCGAUGGCGAAAGCAGCUUCUUGGCUCACUACUGACACUGAGGCACGAAAGCGUGGGGAGCAAACAGG